AGAUAUGAGCGACUCACUUUAGGUUGCUCCUCUGGAAGGGGACCACAGCAGAGGAGUGGGUAGCUGUAUUGCACCUCACCCUCACACGGUGAGCAGAUUUACUGGGAUGAAGUCAAGUUGAAACCCUCCCCUGGACGGAGCUACAAUCAUUCAGUUUCUAUCAGCUUGGUAUUCUCCUAUCUAGAAACCCGUACAUGAAGAUCGUGAAGGAACUGAGAUUUCCCAGCCUAUGAGCUUACGGAAGCCCCUGCACUGGAUGGAAUGUGAUCACCUUGGCGGAAGGUUCCCAGGAGCCUUGCUGGAUGUUGUCUGCAAUGUAAACAUCCUUGAAAACCACCCUUGAAGUUUCUGUGAAAACAUUCAACAUCUUGGAAGGGAGGCUCGUGUACAGCUGCCAUCAUAUGGAUGGGAGGUCAGAGGACAGCGUGUGGAAAUCAGUUCUCUCUUACCACGUGAGCACCAUGGGACUUGGACUGUCCAUCGUGGCAGGAAGUAGCCUUGAUCUGCCCGCUGUAUGCAUUGCCAGUCUUCUGUCUUACUUUCUGAAACAGGGCCUUCAAUCCACCUGGAGCUCACUUAUUUGGCUGGGCUGGCUGGCCAGCACAUUCCAGGGAUGCAUCUGUCUCGGCCUGCCCAGUGCUGGAGGACUAAAACGGGAGGCAAGAUGAAGACGCUUGCCUUCUCUACGGAUGCCGUACAGGGUCUCCAUACAGCUCAUCUGUCAUCUACAGCUUCAGACUGUUCUUCUCUCACUCCCAUGACUCCCCAUUAAAGAAAUGUGUAACUUUCUUGCCUUUAA